ACGCUUUUAGCUGAGUGUCAGAGUCAACCACAACCCUCAACAUAUUUAACCAGGCAGUUCUCAGCCAACUGUCAUUUGAGGGUGAAACAGUGUGAUGAACAACAAAGACUUCUCUCAGCAUUAUAAUUGCAGGUUGACGUAGACAUGCACUUCUGUGAAGGAAACACAUGUUUGGUUGCAUUCCUUCUGUCUCUACCAGGUGUUCUAGAUUGCUGGAGUGUGACCUACACUCUUCAGAGUAUCUGUGCCAUGAGGGGAUCAUCAGUGACUAUGGGCUGCUCUUACUCAUAUCCAGAUAGAGUAACAGUGACUGAACCAUUCUGGCAUGAACAAGAGACAUGGGAAGAUUUAAGCAAGAAGG